rnacentral:rRNA from 1 species
GACGAAGGGGGCUAGCGUUGUUCGGAAUUACUGGGCGUAAAGCGCACGUAGGCGGACAUUUAAGUCAGGUGUGAAAUCCCAGAGCUCAACUCUGGAACUGCCUUUGAUACUGGGUGUCUUGAGUAUGGAAGAGGUGAGUGGAAUUCCGAGUGUAGAGGUGAAAUUCGUAGAUAUUCGGAGGAACACCAGUGGCGAAGGCGGCUCACUGGUCCAUUACUGACGCUGAGGUGCGAAAGCGUGGGGAGCAAACAGG